rnacentral:rRNA from 1 species
AGAGUUUGAUCAUGGCUCAGAUUGAACGCUGGCGGCAGGCCUAACACAUGCAAGUCGAACGGUAACAGGAAGCAGCUUGCUGCUUCGCUGACGAGUGGCGGACGGGUGAGUAAUGUCUGGGAAACUGCCUGAUGGAGGGGGAUAACUACUGGAAACGGUAGCUAAUACCGCAUAAUGUCGCAAGACCAAAGAGGGGGACCUUCGGGCCUCUUGCCAUCGGAUGUGCCCAGAUGGGAUUAGCUUGUUGGUGGGGUAACGGCUCACCAAGGCGACGAUCCCUAGCUGGUCUGAGAGGAUGACCAGCCACACUGGAACUGAGACACGGUCCAGACUCCUACGGGAGGCAGCAGUGGGGAAUAUUGCACAAUGGGCGCAAGCCUGAUGCAGCCAUGCCGCGUGUAUGAAGAAGGCCUUCGGGUUGUAAAGUACUUUCAGCGGGGAGGAAGGGAGUAAAGUUAAUACCUUUGCUCAUUGACGUUACCCGCAGAAGAAGCACCGGCUAACUCCGUGCCAGCAGCCGCGGUAAUACGGAGGGUGCAAGCGUUAAUCGGAAUUACUGGGCGUAAAGCGCACGCAGGCGGUUUGUUAAGUCAGAUGUGAAAUCCCCGGGCUCAACCUGGGAACUGCAUCUGAUACUGGCAAGCUUGAGUCUCGUAGAGGGGGUAGAAUUCCAGGUGUAGCGGUGAAAUGCGUAGAGAUCUGGAGGAAUACCGGUGGCGAAGGCGGCCCCCUGGACGAAGACUGACGCUCAGGUGCGAAAGCGUGGGGAGCAAACAGGAUUAGAUACCCUGGUAGUCCACGCCGUAAACGAUGUCGACUUGGAGGUUGUGCCCUUGAGGCGUGGCUUCCGGAGCUAACGCGUUAAGUCGACCGCCUGGGGAGUACGGCCGCAAGGUUAAAACUCAAAUGAAUUGACGGGGGCCCGCACAAGCGGUGGAGCAUGUGGUUUAAUUCGAUGCAACGCGAAGAACCUUACCUGGUCUUGACAUCCACGGAAGUUUUCAGAGAUGAGAAUGUGCCUUCGGGAACCGUGAGACAGGUGCUGCAUGGCUGUCGUCAGCUCGUGUUGUGAAAUGUUGGGUUAAGUCCCGCAACGAGCGCAACCCUUAUCCUUUGUUGCCAGCGGUCCGGCCGGGAACUCAAAGGAGACUGCCAGUGAUAAACUGGAGGAAGGUGGGGACGACGUCAAGUCAUCAUGGCCCUUACGACCAGGGCUACACACGUGCUACAAUGGCGCAUACAAAGAGAAGCGACCUCGCGAGAGCAAGCGGACCUCAUAAAGUGCGUCGUAGUCCGGAUUGGAGUCUGCAACUCGACUCCAUGAAGUCGGAAUCGCUAGUAAUCGUGGAUCAGAAUGCCACGGUGAAUACGUUCCCGGGCCUUGUACACACCGCCCGUCACACCAUGGGAGUGGGUUGCAAAAGAAGUAGGUAGCUUAACCUUCGGGAGGGCGCUUACCACUUUGUGAUUCAUGACUGGGGUGAAGUCGUAACAAGGUAACCGUAGGGGAACCUGCGGUUG